AACGAACGCUGGCGGCAUGCCUAACACAUGCAAGUCGAACGAGACCUUCGGGUCUAGUGGCGCACGGGUGCGUAACGCGUGGGAACCUGCCCUUAGGUUCGGAAUAACUCCCCGAAAGGGGUGCUAAUACCGGAUAAUGUCUUCGGACCAAAGAUUUAUCGCCUUUGGAUGGGCCCGCGUUGGAUUAGCUAGUUGGUAGGGUAAAAGCCUACCAAGGCGACGAUCCAUAGCUGGGCUGAGAGGAUGAUCAGCCACACUGGGACUGAGACACGGCCCAGACUCCUACGGGAGGCAGCAGUGGGGAAUAUUGGACAAUGGGCGAAAGCCUGAUCCAGCAAUGCCGCGUGAGUGAUGAAGGCCUUAGGGUUGUAAAGCUCUUUUACCCGGGAUGAUAAUGACCGUACCGGGAGAAUAAGCCCCGGCUAACUCCGUGC
rnacentral:rRNA from 1 species